rnacentral:lncRNA from 1 species
UUUUUUUUGUCUUUUUUUUUUUUGCUAUUUCUUUGGGCCGCUCCCACAGCAUAUGGAGCUCCCCAGGCUAGGGGUCUAAUCGGAGCUGUAGCCACUGGCCUAGGCCAAAGCCACAGCAAAUUGGGAUCUGAGCCGCAUCUGCAACCUACACCACAGCUCACCGCAACGCCGGAUCGUUAACCCAUUGAGCAAGGGCAGGGACCGAACCCGCAACCUCAUGGUUCCUAGUUGGAUUCGUUAACCACUGCGCCAUGACGGGAACUCCCCUCCUUCAUUAUUUUAUUGCCUCUUUCCUUUGAGCUGGGGUACCAGGUUAUCACCCUCCACUCAUGAUCUACAAAUCUUAAGAGAAAAAAGCACUAAGAGUAUUACACUCAGUGAAAUAGGUCAGGCAGAAAAAGACAAAUACUGCAUUAUCUCACCUAUGUGUGCAAUCUAAAAACAAACAAACAAGCUCAUGCUCUAGAUACAUAGAACAGAUGGUUGACUACCAGAGAUGAGGUGGGGGGAAGGGAAUGUGUGAAGGGAGUCAAAAGAAGGUACAAACUUUCAGGUACAAAAUAAGUCAUGAGGAUGUAAUACACAGCAUGGUCUAGUUAAGAGUACCGUAUUUCAUAUUUGAAUGUUGUUAAGAAAGAGUAGAUCUUAAAAGUUGUCAAAAAAAAACCCCACAAAAUUCUGUAAUCAUAUAAGGUGAUUGAUGUUACUUGACUUACUGUGGUGCUCACUUCACAACAGAUACAAUACACAUCAUAGCCUAUGUCAUAUUAAUCAGUCACUGAGGGAGAGCUUCUCUCUGGCAUUGUUAAUUCCCUGGUACUCCUAGGCUACUGCAUAGGCAAGGGAAGAAUAACUUUCAGUGCAUUGGGAAAAAUCCCUUGGGCACAGAGAUGCAGACUCUGACAGUUGGAAAGGGUCUGAAGCAGGCUGAAUACACACUCUGAGGGUGUAGUUGGACAGCGUGAGGACACCGACAGCAAACGCUAUACCUACCAUGGUAUCACUCAUAUGUCAUUUCAAGUUAUUUAAAGAUACAAAUUACAUACCACUAUGGAAAAUUCUUGAAAUACUUAUUCAGUAUACUCUGGCGAUCAAUUCAAUGAACUAUGUUAAAACGCAAGAAAGGCGAAAUAGCAGUGAACACACAGAAAUGUAUCUAAUUACCAGUAAAUGUGGUAAUAUGUGUAAACUUAAAAGAAAAAUGUGAUUUUUGAAAGAGAAUAUUUAACUAUUAAAAGCCAAAUUAAUUCAGUGGUGUCAUGUUGCUGGCUGUUACCAACGGAUUGUACUCAUUAUGAUCAGAAAGAGGGAGUAGAGGUGAAUCAAAGUAAAAUUAUAUUAAAUUUAUCUUUUUGCACACAAAAUUUAUUUUUUUUAA